CCGCCCACUGUCGCGGAACUCACCGCAGUGCAGGACUUGGGAGUUCACCCAGCUUCAGGCCGGCGUGCUCCAGGAGCACGUGGUGCUGGACUGCGCACCGCGCUCUGGGAAGCCUUGGGGCGUCGCUGGGGAAUAACUUCGUCUGAACCACCAAGAUUGUGCAGGCGUUGCAGAGAACCUAGCUGACAUCUUCCCGGCGGGAGUACCAGCUUGUAGUACGGUCCUGGGUUGGCCUUCAAGUUUUCUCAAAGAUAAACAAUAUAUAAGACCAGACAGCUGCUCUCACAGAGGAUCUAGUCUUACAGGGAAGAUGGACAGGCAGAUGGCUGGUUGCAUGUGAUACACUGAUGCCAUCUGUGAUGAGGGUGGUGAGCAGCAGCUGCCAGAGAGAGGAGUCCUUGAAGAGAUGGAGCUGGAUUCCUUGCAGCAUUUGUACGGAGAGUGGGCCGAGGUUUGACUCCCAGAGAAUCACACCGGGGCUAGCGUGGUGCUGAGGUGGUAGGAUCAGCAAAGCAGGCCCUGGGUGAGGAGCAACCUCCCUCCAGUAAUGCAACCCCAGACUGGCUCGGCACUAACCUCUCGCCCAGCCCAGAGGUCUACACACCAGACGCCUUCAUUCCUUUGUAAAUACCGAGUCUUUCCAUCCUCUUCCCUUACUGCUUUAUUUUGCUCUCUCUUCUUUACCAACCCACCCCAUGGUACCCCACUGCUGCUCUGCUCUUCUCUGUUUUCAUGGAAUGGAUGCUUUGGACAUUGGUUCCCAAUAUUGUACACCUUACAAUCACGUCCAUUUCUGAAUCUCCAAACCCUUCCUUUCAUCCAAGAAAUUGUCCUGAUGGAAAACAUCUAUGUUUUUCUGUGCCAACCCCUAAUUUCUCAGGGUCCAUUGGGAUUCAUGCAUGUGACUUGAAGGCAGAGGGAUAACCUCUCCCUCCCUUGACAAUUAUUUUUUCUACUAAUCAAGGUGAGUGUGUUACUCUUCUGAAUGAAUCUGAUUACCAAGU